CUCAACAAACGAGAGAACAUUAUAGCAGUUAGUGUUACAGUAGUUAUACUCUUUAUGAGUAGUUUUAGUAUUUUUGAUCAACCUUUUAAAAGAUACCCUAGGCAAUAGUUGUCUGGAAAUUCACUUAAAGGUGUACUUAUUAUUGAUAAAUUUGCAAGUUGUUUUUCUUAUUGGUCUUGAGCUUGACUAAAAUUGUGAUCUCAAAUAUAUGCC
rnacentral:lncRNA from 1 species